UACGUAGGGUGCAGGCGUUAAUCGGAAUUACUGGGCGUAAAGCGUGCGCAGGCGGUUUGCUAAGACAGGUGUGAAAUCCCCGGGCUCAACCGGGGAACGGCGCGGGAAACUAGCAGGCUUGAGUUCGGGAGAGGGAAGCGGAAUUCCGGGUGUAGCGGUGAAAUGCGCAGAUAUCCGGAGGAACACCGGUGGCGAAGGCGGCUUCCUGGACCGACACUGACGCUGAGGCGCGAAAGCUAGGGGAGCAAACGGG
rnacentral:rRNA from 1 species